rnacentral:lncRNA from 1 species
CGGGCGGUGAUGGGCAGACUGACGGAGUAACUGCAUCCCGAAUCACCCAGAUAAAGGAGGCUCACAGCCACACAUGUUGCCGGCUCUUCCCAAAGAGGGACUGAAAGUCUUAGGGUGAAUUGGUCUGGGGAGGGGGAUGUGUGGGAAUCCCAUGAGAACUGUCGCAGCUUCCAUGUGUCUUUGGGGGUUUGUGGAGGGGUGAGCGCCCUGUGCUCGGCCGUCUGCCCCCUUGAGAGGCUGACGAACUCCCGCAGUGAAGCACCGUCGACGGCCUGAAGCGGUCGCCCAGCCCCAGGGGCAGGCGGAGCUGUCAGCGGGUCCUUGGUCUUGCCCAGCCUGGCCUGACUCAAUGGCCGCAGUACUGGUGGUGACGGAGGGAGCUGCCUCGGGGGCCGCGGGAGUGGAGAAGUCGCUUCCCUUGUGGGAAAGGCCCCCGUCCGUGGCUCGAGGGCAUUGGGUGCGGUGGUCUUCACGGUUCUUCUUGACGAUUCUGUUUCUUUAGAUGUAGUGCAGGUGACUUAACGGAAGGGAGUUGUGAAAGUGUACCCUCAGAAGGGAAAGGACCUUGGGAGGCCCGGGGUGGAGGAAGGGAUGAAGAACCAAGAAAGCACAUUCGAGGGCAAAUAACUGGCGCAGCGGACUAAGGAUGUGGCGUUGCUGUGGCCCAGCUCGCAGCCGAGGCUCAGGUUACAUCCCAGGCCCGGGGGCUUUCACGUGCCACGGGGGAAAGAAAUAAGUAAAUAAAUAACCACUGAUUGCUUUGGUUUUUGGUUUGUUUUUUAAAAAAGGAGCUCCUCUUGUGACUCAGUGGUAACGAACCUGCCUGAUAUCCAGGGGGGCGGUGGCUCGAUCCCCGGCCCCACUCAGUGGGCUGAGCAUCCAAAGGUGCCGUGAGCCGUGGUGUAAGUCCUAGACGCAGUUCAGAUCCGGCGUGGCUGUGGCUGUGGCUGUGGUGUAGGCCUGCAGCUGCAGCUCUGAUUCGACCCCUAGCCUGGGAACCAACAUAUGCUUCAGGUGUGGCCCUAAAAGAGGAAAAAAAGAAAAAAGAAAGAAAUUCUGGACUUCUCUUGCGGCAGAAUGGGUUAAGGGUCCACCAUUGUCACUGCAGUGGCCUCCGUUGCUGCUGUAGCAUGGGUUCAGUCCCUGGCCCAGGUGGCAAAAGAAAAGGAAGGAAGAAUGAAACUUCCAGGAGACCUGGAGAGUGCUAAACAAAGUGCUUUAGUUUUAUCAUGAUGACCAAAAACCUCUCCAAUUUCAUGGUCAAGUCUCAUGUUUUUCUCACGGUUGCUGCACGUUGUGCAUUAUCUGAUUUCUGGCUUUAUAUAAAGUUAAUACGGCAACUGACAAAAAAACGGAAGCAGGUCAAUGGCUUAGAAAAGGCCCAUCGGGGAGUUCCCGUCCUGGCUCAGCAGAAACAAAUCUGACUAGUGUCCAUGUAGAUGCAGGUUUGAUCUCUGGCCUCGCUCAUGGGUUAAGGAUCCGGCAUUGCCAUGAGCUGUGGUGUAGGUUACAGAUGUGGCUCGGAUCCUGUGUUGCUGUGGCUCUGGCGUAGGCUGGCAGUUGUAGCUCCAAUUAGACCCCUAGACUGGGAACCUCUGUGUGCCACAGUGCGGCCCUACAGACAAAAGACCCCCAAAAAAGGGGGGAUUAAAAUGCACUGAUCCUGAUAGGAUAGCAGGUACAUGUUUGGUGGUUGAUGCUGAAAUUAAUGGUUUGAAGGAACCCUUGAAGAAAUAACUCCUCAAUAACAUUUUUAGGAGGUUAUAACUCAUUUAGUCAGGAGUUCUUUAAAAUUAUACACAUGCUUAAAAGAAUAUCAACCACACACACAUACACGAAUACUUCUAAAGAGCCUUAGACUGGAAGUCUGAUAUGUUAUUUUUGGGGGAGAGGGUGACUGUGGCAUGCAAAAGUUCCUGGGCCAGGGAUUGAACCCUUGCCCACGUGACCCUACUGGAUCCUCAAAUGCUAGGCCACCGGGAAAGUCCUAGAAAAUAGAUGGCAUGCGUGAAUGUGUAGUGUAUGCAACAGAGGAAUGGGCAAGGUUGUCCCCAGAAUCUGUCUCAAGCAGUCUUCUACAGGAGCGUUUUAAAAUUUCACAUCCAGAAAUAACAGACGUAUUUCUGAAGGUAAAGUGGCCAUUCCAGUUGACUUGACUACAGUGUAUGAAGGAAAAGAGGGUUUUUUCAAGAAGGAAUCAACAAGGAGUUCUCUCGUGCUGCAGGCAGUUAAGGAUCCAGCAGGGUCACUGCAGCAGCUCAGGUUGUUGCUAUGGCGAGGGGUUAGUCCCUGGCCUGGAAAUGUCCAUACGACGUGGAUGCAGCCAAUAAAUAAAAAAAAAAAAAAAUCAUAAAUAAAGGGGACACUUAGUGCAUCUUUUCUUCCACAGUAUUUUGUGAGCUUGUUGAUUUUCUCAAGCUUUUCUGCCGAAAGGGAUUGACUGGGACAGAAGAACUCGUGCCCCAAACUGCCUUCCACCUCCAGGCAGGAUGUUUUGUGUUUUGUUUUUUUUUUCUCCAAAUUUCUCAUUUUAGCUUAAAAGACAAAAUCUGCAUUCAUAAUAACUUCCUGCUAAGAAUGUUGGGGGACGACUGCACCCGCAGCAUAAAUAAGUUCCCAGGCCAGGGGUGGAAUCAGAGCUGCAGCCGCCGGCCUACACCACAGCCACAGCAACACCGGAUCUGAGCUGCAUCUGCCCCUUACACCACAGCUUAUGGCAACACUGGAUCCUUAAUCCAUUGAGCGAGGCCAGGGAUCAACCCCGCAUCCUCGUGGAUCCUAGUUGGGUUCGGUAACCACCGAGCCACAAAGGGAACUCCUCAUAGUCCUAUUUUAAAGUCUGUUGCUCGUGAGGAUAGUGUGGCAGGGUUGUUGCUUGUAAAUUUCAGGAUGCUCGCAUCCGUUAUACAGCGGUAAGGAGUAAAUGAACUGUCAUGCAGACAAGCCAUGGAGCGCACAAUAAAUGUUUCUUAAAAAGUAUAGGCUAUUAUCCUUUGGUGCCUAAUAGGUGCCAUUGCAUAUAAAAUGAAGGCCAGAGGCUAAUGGAUUGACCUUAGAGAAUGCUGACUGUACCAGGACAGCUUAUGUCAAGUUGUGACGCUGUAUCAAGGCUGCAGUGCCGGAUCCUUUAACCCACUGAGUUGGGCUGGCGGUUGAACCUGCACCUCCACAGUAAUCUAAGCCCCUGCAGAUUCUUAACCCACUGUGCCCCAGCAGGAACGCCUUCAUUUAUAAUUCUUUCAUAUUCAUGCAGGUGUUAGUUGGGGCCCAUGUGCUGUAAC